CCUGCAUGAAGUCGGAAUUGCUAGUAACCGCGGAUCAGCAUGCCGCGGUGAAUACGUUCCCGGGCCUUGUACACACCGCCCGUCACACCAUGAGAGUCUGUAACACCCAAAGCCGGUGGGAUAACCUUUAUAGGAGUCAGCCGUCUAAGGUAGGACAGAUGAUUAGGGUGAAGUCGUAACAAGGUAAC
rnacentral:rRNA from 1 species